rnacentral:rRNA from 1 species
AUGAACGCUGGCGGCGUGCCUAAUACAUGCAAGUCGAGCGAACAGACGAGGAGCUUGCUCCUCUGACGUUAGCGGCGGACGGGUGAGUAACACGUGGAUAACCUACCUAUAAGACUGGGAUAACUUCGGGAAACCGGAGCUAAUACCGGAUAAUAUAUUGAACCGCAUGGUUCAAUAGUGAAAGACGGUUUUGCUGUCACUUAUAGAUUGAUCCUCGCCGCAUUAGCUAGUUGGUAAGGUAACGGCUUACCAAGGCAACGAUGCGUAGCCGACCUGAGAGGGUGAUCGGACACACUGGAACUGAGACACGGUCCAGACUCCUACGGGAGGCAGAAGUAGGGAAUCUUCCGCAAUGGGAGAAAGCCUGACGGAGCAACGCCGCGUGAGUGAUGAAGGUCUUCGGAUCGUAAAACUCUGUUAUUAGGGAAGAACAAAUGUGUAAGUAACUAUGCACGUAUUGACGGUACCUAAUCAGAAAGCAACGGCUAACUACGUG